UGAGGAAUAUUGGUCAAUGGGGCGAGAGCCUGAACCAGCCAAGUCGCGUGAGGGAAGACGGUCCUACGGAUUGUAAACCUCUUUUGUCGGGGAGUAAUAGGCGGGACGUGUCCUGCUGUGAGAGUACCCGAAGAAAAAGCAUCGGCUAACUCCGUGCCAGCAGCCGCGGUAAUACGGAGGAUGCGAGCGUUAUCCGGAUUUAUUGGGUUUAAAGGGUGCGCAGGCGGGACUCGUCAAGUCAGCGGUAAAAAUUCGGGGCUCAACCCCGUCCUGCCGUUGAAACUGCGAGACUGGAGUGCGACAGAGGAAGGCGGAAUGCGAGGUGUAGCGGUGAAAUGCAUAGAUAUCGCGCAGAACUCCGAUUGCGAAGGCAGCCUUCCAUGUCGUGACUGACGCUGAGGCACGAAAGCGUGGGGAUCGAACAGGAUUAGAUACCCUGGUAGU
rnacentral:rRNA from 1 species